rnacentral:sRNA from 1 species
CUGUAGCCCCGAUUGCAGCGGCAUCCUUUUUUGGUGGCUGAGGCUCCCGAAGCCACCAAAAAAGAUAUAGCGGAAACCUAACGAAGU